CGAAGGAUCCAAGCGUUAUCCGGAUUCAUUGGGUUUAAAGGGAGCGUAGGCGGGUUUAUAAGUCAGUGGUGAAGCCGAUCGCUUAACGAUCGAACUGCCAUUGAUACUGUAGACCUAGAGUACAGAUGAUGUUGGCGGAAUAUGACAUGUAGCGGUGAAAUGCAUAGAUAUGUCAUAGAACACCGAUUGCGAAGGCAGCUGACAAAACUGUAACUGACGCUGAGGCUCGAAAGUGCGGGGAUCAAACAGGAUUAGAUACCCUGGUAGUCCGCACAGUAAACGAUGAUAACUAGUUGUUUGCGAUAUACAGUAAGCGACCAAGCGAAAGCGAUAAGUUAUCCACCUGGGGAGUACGCCCGCAAGGGUG
rnacentral:rRNA from 1 species